AUGGGCUCCGGGAGCAGAGAAGUUGAAGAUUUGUGCCGUGUAUGUGCGAAAGACAAAUCCAACAUUCAGUUGUUCAGUGAGAGCGGCAUGAAACACAAGCUUAUCAACAAAAUCAAAAGAUAUUUAUCAAUCGUGGUUUUGGCAAACGAUAAACUGCCCUUAGGCAUUUGUUAUGGGUGCGCCAAAAAACUAGACAGCAUUCACCGUUUUGUACGAAAUGCCCAGGAAGCUCAAAAUAAUCUCAAGGAUCUCAUGAAAUACGAGAAGUAUCAUGCUCAACCAGACACCUCAGGAAGUUUGCUUCACUCCAUCUUGACAAGAGGAAAUAAUCCAGAAGAAAGGAAUGGAAUGAAAUCGGAAAACAUGGAUGAGGAGGAUGAGGAAGAGGAGGAGGAGCAGCUAGAAGUAACAAAAAUGGAAGUAGACAUAGAUCCGAUGCUAUUUCUUGUUCCAGAUGAAGACUCCCAGUCUGAUGAUAAAGCAGAUGUAAAAGAAACUUCAUCUCAUUUAAACAAUAAUGUGAACGAGAUGUAUGAGAAACAGGAACGGGUCAAGCCGUAUCGAUGUUCAAUAUGCCCUCGAGGUUUCAAUACAGAGAUUGGUUUGCAGAAUCAUUUGUGGAGCCAUUUACCAACAGCCAACAGAGUCCUCACCAAAACAAAAUUUCAAAGUUUGAAAGACAAAGGAUGUGUUUACUCAUCAAAUGGAGUUUUGCGCACAGCCUCAGUGGCAGAACCGGUAGUAAACAAUAGUGGACCAUUAACUUGUCCUGUUUGUGGGAAGCUGAUCUCUACUAAAGGCAACCUGAAGGUUCAUCUAGAAACACAUCGGCCCAAAGGAGAUAUGACUGUGAUAUUUGUGGUAGAAUGUAAGUGUUAAUCUGCUACCUCAUUGUAAAAAUCUUCUAUUUUUAAAGAUUUCUGGAGAAAGGAAUUUUCUCUUUCGUUAGAAUCAUAUGAUUACUUUUUGGUUUAACUGACAAUAAACUUUAACUUACUGUCAAACUGAAUAUUUUGGAAAAUUACAGGAGAACCAAGAAAUUUGACAUCGAUUUUAAUAUUAACAAUAACAGAAUGCUUCCUAUUUUUCUCCCCAUUUUAUACUCCCUAUUUUAUGCUUACUGCUGGUCAAUUGAUCGAAAAAAUGAGCAAAUAUCAUCACUUUCAUCUGGAGAAAUUUGAUGAAAUCAAAAGAUCUUUACUUUACAAGCAGGAGUGCAGGAAGUGCAAGUCUCUCUCAUUUUCAUACGCCCACUCGGUCACUUCUCACAUUUUUCCCAUGUCUUUCCUCAAAAACUCCCCCCUAUAUCUAGAUACAUUAUGGACUAAGCCAUGUGAGGUGCCCAACAAGUGGUAGCCCUAAGAAGGGCUGUUGGAAAAGGCUGUGUCGAGCUACAGUCAAAAAAGCUGCGCUGGUUGGUGGAGUGGUGGCUUGCCGCCACACAAUGACCGUUUUUAAAUGUUUUCUUUAAAAAAAAAAAAAAAAAAAAAAAAAAAAAAAAAAAAAAAAAACUGAUCUCCUGGAUCCAUUUAUGUUUUUAUCAGUCACACUGUUCUGUCCUUGGAACAGGUCAAAGUUGUUAAGUGUCUUGCUUAAAACUUUUUCCAUAGAUCAAGUUAAUCAACACCUCAUAUCAGGAUGAGAAAUCCCAUCUCCUGCAAAUGGUCAAAAAUUAUCCUUACCUCUGUUAAAAGCUUUUCUUCAAUAACCUAUUGAUUUGUUGUUAUAUCUUAUUUCAGUUUUAAAACACCAUCAAAUCUCAGUCGACACAAAGAAUACCAUGAAUAUGUGCAGUUUCCUUGCAAAGUCUGUGGUCGUGUUUAUCCAACAAACAGUACUUUAAGGGCACAUAGUAUCACGCAUAGUAAUCUAAGGCCGCAUAAAUGUCCUCUUUGUGAUAAAACAUUCAAACGAAAUCAAGAUUUAAAAGUAAGUUCUUCCUCAAAAAAUCUCAAUCGGGUAUUUGUCGUAUGGAGUAUAUCCGUAACAUCAACUGGAGUGAAAGUAAGAGUAUUUAAAAAUCUCUCAAAGAUGAUGACUAGUGUUAUCUCUUCGAUUGCAUACAAAGGCGAGGGAUAUUUUCCAUUUUUGUGCUGAAUCCAGUGGUAAGUCAAGUUAAAAACGGAAAAUAUGAAAUGUAGUUUUUCCAUAUUCCAAUAAAAAAAUAUAUUGAUGAACCAGCCAAAAAUAAAUUGAUAAACUGAGUAAUUUUGAAAUUCACCCAAGUUUUCCAAUGCUAUCAAAUGACCCAUGCUCCAUGUAUAGGCAUGGAGACCCUGCAAGGGAAACCGUUCAAGUGGAAGAGUAAUUUUUGCUGUGGCUGUGAAAUUCAUCCACUUCUUUUAUUGAUUUCAAGUAUUGUGAAACAACCUUUCUUUGAAUUCUUGACUUUUCUCCCUCCAUUGCAAAGCUUGACCCUAUUGUGAAUCGCACAGUACAACAGCAGGCAAAUAUCAAUUCUCCCCCCCCCCCCUCCAUUUUCAUAGGAUUUCUUACACAUCCGUAACAACCCAGUUGCGCCCGAAAUGUCCUAAAGUUUUUCCCCAUAAAAUGAUGCAAUUUUUUUAAACUUAAGAUCUAAGUGUAAAGUUGAAUUCUAACCCAUCCCUUCCUUUAUUUACUCCAUGUGUUGCUGAAACGCUGCUCUUGUUAUCUUUGCUAUCAGCCUAUUUUAUAACUUAAUUAUUUCUAUUCUGCAAUUUUCAGUUUCACAUCAACCAACACACUGGAGCUCGCCCUUAUCAGUGCCCAUACUGUCCCAAGGCCUUCGCCAGCUCCGGAAACUGUUUUUCGCACCGCAAACGAAUGCAUUCCGAUGAAGUUGAAAGGGAUCGUGAGUUAGCUGGAGGUGAAUCUGAGUAAAGUACAUAGUUGCUCACCAUUUUGUGCUUUUGCAUUGUCUCAUUAUGAUAUUUAAAUGUACCAUGAUUUACAGAAACUCUUUGGCUGUAUUUACACCAUUUUCUUCGUCGAGAAUUUUGAAGAGCUGAAUCUUUUGUUAUACUUUCGAACCUUGUCUCAAUCGUCAAUGGUAAAGAGUUGUUAGAAAUUUUAUUGAUCUAGACCGUACUGUACAAACAUACCAAGUUUAAAGUAGCGAAAGUAAACCAGUUCUUAGGAAUGUCCAUGACUUUAUUAUUGUCUGUUAUCAUUUAUACUUUCCUGUACCAUAUGGUUCCUCAAGCUAUUUUUUUAUGCCACAUCAAGUCUUAUUUCAUCUACUCAACAAUUUAAUUUUUCUAUUAGUAUUAUAUUAUGCAUUAAAUUGAGCUUUCCAUAAUAUGACUGAUAGCCAUAUUUCCUUAAAGUCAAGGGAAGGAUUGAAGAUAUCGUUUUAUCAAGGUACCUGUAUGACUGGAAAAAUAGGGAAAAUCAAGUGAAAGAAAUUGACCCUAAACUCAGGGAUUUCUGCAAGGAACUGAAAUUUUUACCCUUAGUCUAAUUUUUCCCAAUCACAUACGUUCUUACAACCGGAAUGAACAUUUCAGAAAAUUAUAACUUUAAAAAUAAGAAAACUGAGAGCUUAGAGAUUAAUUUUGAAGAAUUCUAACCAUAAAAAAUUGCCACUUUUUAUGCAUGUGCGUAGAUUAUCGAUCAAGAAAAUCUGGUAAUUUCUUUCAUCUUAGUCUGGAAAACCCAGAAAAGUCUUGAAAUUUUUCUCUUGGAAGUCUGUAAGUACCCUGACUUAAAAUAACUUGGUAAAAUAUAAACUCCUCCGGCAUUAGCCCAUUAAAGGUCAUGGAGUAACCUCAAUUUCUCUAAAGGUAUUAUUGUACUGAGUAGUAAUAAAAUGCUUUUAAGUCAAAAACUGGUGUCAAAAUAGUCAAAAUUGUGUAGAUUCUAAGUCAAGAUUCUACUUAUUAUUUUAAUUUUAGGAAUGAUCUCCAUGAUUUACAAUUUAAGUGUAUCUCUGUCAUCAGUAUGUUAUGAAAUAAUUGUAAUAUUCCUGAAAACUAGUCAAGUUUUAUCUUUCACCAGCUAUGCCAUAUUUUCAUUUUUAUUAGAAUUAAUUUUUGAUGGAUCACUACUUUGUUGACGCAAUGUUUUUUCGUCAUGAAAGUAAUUUUCUUCACUGAAUAGUUCCAUUAGUGGAAGUUAAUUGUUUUUUUUUUCCUUGAAUAUAUAUACCUUUAUUUAUUCUGACUCAAUACCUGUUCUCAGUUUGUUUUCUCUCUCUCACUCGCUCUAUCUUUCAAUGCUCAAUAUUUUUGUCUAUAUCAGGCGCUUGCGGAGAACUGCUAGUUCUUGCUGUUUUCGUUCUUCAACAAGAAAAGAAAAAAAAAAAUUUAAAAAAAUAUCAUAGAUUCCCAUACAUAGUGUAAAGUUUUUAUUUUUCAGAAAAAUGUUAUACUUGUGUGUAAAUUGUGUGACCUAUUCUAAGAAGCAGUAACUAUCAUUUUAUUUGCUUUUUUGUCUGCUUAAUAGAAAGUGUAAAGUUUUAUUUUGUGGUUCAUCCCCUGUUUGUUUUGUCGUUUCAUUGUGAUUGCUCUGUCACUUUGAUGCUUCACAAUCAAAGAGAUCCAUAAUUUCUAAACCAUUUAUGUAUGUGUCUGUAUAUCUAGUAUGUAUUUUUAUAUCCACAAGCUUAUCCAUAGAUAAGAACACAUACGUGUAGUGCUUUAUUUUUUUAAAUGUUGAAGGGUAACAUAUGAUGUAGGGUGUUCACUCUAUUCUACAAUUUUUUCUAAAUUUAAUUGGAGCUGAGAGUUAGUUUCGAGCAUGAAACAAUGGGGACCCAUACUGCUGAAGCUCAAUAUUUGUCUAAUUUUCGUGGAAAUUGUUUAAUCUCCAAUUUCUGAAAGACACCUACUGAUGUUAUAUCUCUUAAUCCAGUUCUAAUCAUGAUUUAUCAAGCAAAAAAUCAAAAGUAGGUAACUUCCUCGAUUUUUGCGGAGGGUUUUCUUAUACCUCCUUAAAUGACCAGGUGACCCAUCUCUAUUAAUAGGUUGUGAACAUAAGAUGGUAUGUAAGUCACAAAUGACUGCAGUGACACUAGAAAAAAAACUUACCUACCCGACAGUUUUGCAAAUUUAUUUUCACAUCUUCUCAUGAUACACUAAUGCAUAUUGUUGUUAGUUUGUUUAAUUCAGCAUCAUCUUCAUUUGACUCUCUAAAUAUAUUCUCUAAGAAUUUCCAAGGGAAAUGUAUGUAAAUUUCCUUCUGUUGCAAAUGAAGUAGAAGCUGAAGUUCUAAAGCAUCACCACGGAAAUUAAUGUUUAUGUAGUUUUAACACCAAGAUGUUGUUUUAAGAAUACUGACUUCAACAGUGAAUGGAUUGAAUCAAGUUAAAGUUAAGAGUGGAAAUUAUUGCAAUACUAAGUGAAGGGAAAAGGAAUUUUUACAAUUUAUAGAAAUCAUCGGAGAUACAGGCAAGGAUCUAAAGAAAUCUCCGAUCAAUAGGAGCUCAAAAUUGUAACAUUAUUUUACUUCGUAGAUUUUUCCUCUAAAAGGAUUUAAUUCUGGAGUUUGAACUGUCAUCUUCUAAAAUUCGAUGCAGGAUUCCUAUGAUUCUCCAUAUAUAAUCACCUGUAAUAGAAAAUUCCAUUAUAUCCCAGGCUGUUACUUUUAGGCACCUUUGAAAUACCUAUAACUUGUAAUGUUGAGACUGAACUUUGUAGGUGGUUUGUAAAACCUUAAUAACAAAAUAAAACUUCCUUUUACAGUAUCUAAUUACUUUUUAUUUAUUUUUGUCAUUAUCCAUACUUUUUGCCCCACUGUUAUGUUUUUUUCAAAUUAAAAAUUCAAAUAGUUUCAAUAGUCAG
rnacentral:lncRNA from 1 species